rnacentral:rRNA from 1 species
CCCUUACUACAUGGAUAACCGUAGUAAUUCUAGAGCUAAUACAUGCACAAAAGCCCAACUGCCUCGGCGGACGGGUUGCAUUGAUUAGACCGAAACCAAUGCGUCUUCGGACGGUUUUGUGGUGAAUCAUAAUCACUUGCGGAUCGCACGCUUCGGCGGCGACGUUUCAUUCAAGUUUCUGCCCUAUCAGCUUUGGAUGGUAGGGUAUUGGCCUACCAUGGCUUUAACGGGUAACGGGGAAUUGGGGUUCGAUUCCGGAGAGGGAGCCUGAGAAACGGCUACCACAUCCAAGGAAGGCAGCAGGCGCGUAAAUU